rnacentral:rRNA from 1 species
UGCAGAAUCCCGUGAACCAUCGAGUCUUUGAACGCAAGUUGCGCCCGAUGCCAUUAGGUUGAGGGCACGUCUGCCUGGGCGUCACAUAUCGAAGCCUCUUGCCAAUUUCCUAUUGAUAGGUAUUGUGCAGGGUGAAUGUUGGCCUCCCGUGAGCUCCAUUGCCUCAUGGUUGGUUGAAAAUCGAGACCUUGGUAGGGUGUGCCAUGAUAGAUGGUGGCUGUGUUACGCACGAGACCAAGUCAUGUGCCUGCUCUAUUGAAUUUAGUCUCUUUUACCCACAUGCGUUUCUAAACGCUCGUGAUGAGACCUCAGGUCAGGCGGGGCUACCCGCUGAAUUUAAGCAUAUCAAUAAGCGGAGGAAAAGAAACUAACAAGGAUUCCCUUAGUAACGGCGAGCGAACCGGGAUAAGCCCACCAUGAGAAUCGGUCGCCCUCGGCGUUCGA